GACGAACGCUGGCGGCGUGCUUAACACAUACAAGUCGAACGGAAAGGCCUGCUUUCCCUUGUGGAUUGCGGGUACUCGAGUGGCGAACGGGUGAGUAACACGUGAGUGAUCUGCCCCCAACUUGGGUAUAAGCCUGGGAAACUGGGUCUAAUUCCCGAUAGGACUGCAGGGUGGUGCCUGUGGUGGAAAACGAUUUUCUAGUGGUUGGGGAUGAGCUCGCGGCCUAUCAGCUUGUUGGUGGGGUAAUGGCCUACCAAGGCGGCGACGGGUAGCCGGCCUGAGAGGGUGGACGGCCACAUUGGGACUGAGAUACGGCCCAGACUCCUACGGGAGGCAGCAGUGGGGAAUAUUGCACAAUGGGCGGAAGCCUGAUGCAGCGACGCCGCGUGGGGGAUGACGGCCUUCGGGUGGUAAACUCCUUUCGACCGCGAGGAAGCCACCUGGUUGGAAGGGUGGUGACGGUAGUGGUAGAAGAAGCACCGGCUAACUACGUG
rnacentral:rRNA from 1 species